rnacentral:rRNA from 1 species
GGAGGGUGCAAGCGUUAUCCGGAUUUAUUGGGUUUAAAGGGUCCGUAGGCGGAUCUGUAAGUCAGUGGUGAAAUCUCAUAGCUUAACUAUGAAACUGCCAUUGAUACUGCAGGUCUUGAGUAAGGUAGAAGUAGCUGGAAUAAGUAGUGUAGCGGUGAAAUGCAUAGAUAUUACUUAGAACACCAAUUGCGAAGGCAGGUUACUAUGUCUUAACUGACGCUGAUGGACGAAAGCGUGGGGAGCGAACAGGAUUAGAUACCCUGGUAGUCCACGCUGUAAACGAUGCUAACUCGUUUUUGGGGCUUCGGCUUCAGAGACUAAGCGAAAGUGAUAAGUUAGCCACCUGGGGAGUACGUUCGCAAGAAUGAA